CGCAUCAGUUCUGGAGAGCAACUCCGACCGGAGUUCACCGAAGGGGACGGCCCGCUGAGGCAGGCUUAAUCUCUCAGGUUCGCGGACAGAAGAGCCUCG
rnacentral:ncRNA from 2 species